GAACUUAAGCAUAUCAAUAAGCGGAGGAAAAGAAACCAACAGGGAUUACCUCAGUAACGGCGAGUGAAGCGGUAACAGCUCAAAUUUGAAAUCUGACUCUUUCAGGGUCCGAGUUGUAAUUUGUAGAAGAUGCUUUGGGCAUUGCUCCGGUCUAAGUUCCUUGGAACAGGACGUCAUAGAGGGUGAGAAUCCCGUAUGUGACUGGUGGCAUUUGUCCGUGUAAAGCUCUUUCGACGAGUCGAGUUGUUUGGGAAUGCAGCUCAAAAUGGGUGGUAUAUUUCAUCUAAAGCUAAAUAUUGGCCAGAGACCGAUAGCGCACAAGUAGAGUGAUCGAAAGAUGAAAAGCACUUUGGAAAGAGAGUUAAACAGUACGUGAAAUUGUUGAAAGGGAAGCGCUUGCAACCAGACUUGCAGGUCGUUGAUCAUCCGGGGUUCUCCCCGGUGCACUCGGCGGCUUUCAGGCCAGCAUCGGUUUGAGUGGUGGGAUAAAGGCCUUGGGAAUGUGGCUCCUCUCGGGGAGUGUUAUAGCCCAAGGUGCAAUGCCGCCUAUUCGGACCGAGGACCGCGCUUCGGCUAGGAUGCUGGCGUAAUGGUUGUAAGCGACCCGUCUUGAAACACGGACCAAGGAGUCUAACAUCUAUGCGAGUGUUUGGGUGUCAAACCCAUACGCGUAAUUAACGUGAACGGAGGUAAGAACCCUUAAGGGUGCAUUAUCGACCGAUCCUGAUGUCUUCGGAUGGAUUUGAGUAAGAGCAUAGCUGUUGGGACCCGAAA
rnacentral:rRNA from 1 species